AGCGAACGCUGGCGGCAGGCUUAACACAUGCAAGUCGAACGGACCCUUCGGGGUUAGUGGCGGACGGGUGAGUAACACGUGGGAACGUGCCUUUAGGUUCGGAACAACACAGGGAAACUUGUGCUAAUACCGGAUGUGCCCUUCGGGGGAAAGAUUUAUCGCCUUUAGAGCGGCCCGCGUCUGAUUAGCUAGUUGGUGGGGUAAAGGCCUACCAAGGCGACGAUCAGUAGCUGGUCUGAGAGGAUGGCCAGCCACAUUGGGACUGAGACACGGUCCAGACUCCUACGGGAGGCAGCAGUGGGGAAUAUUGGACAAUGGGCGAAAGUCUGAUCCAGCCAUGCCGCGUGUGUGAAGAAGGUCUUCGGAUUGUAAA
rnacentral:rRNA from 1 species